rnacentral:rRNA from 1 species
AUUGAACGCUGGCGGCAUGCCUUACACAUGCAAGUCGAACGGUAACAGGUCUUCGGAUGCUGACGAGUGGCGAACGGGUGAGUAAUACAUCGGAACGUGCCCGAUCGUGGGGGAUAACGGAGCGAAAGCUUUGCUAAUACCGCAUACGAUCUACGGAUGAAAGCAGGGGACCGCAAGGCCUUGCGCGGACGGAGCGGCCGAUGGCAGAUUAGGUAGUUGGUGGGAUAAAAGCUUACCAAGCCGACGAUCUGUAGCUGGUCUGAGAGGACGACCAGCCACACUGGGACUGAGACACGGCCCAGACUCCUACGGGAGGCAGCAGUGGGGAAUUUUGGACAAUGGGCGCAAGCCUGAUCCAGCCAUGCCGCGUGCAGGAUGAAGGCCUUCGGUUGUAAACUGCUUUGUACGGACGAAAGACUCUUUCUAAUAAGAGGGUCCAUGACGGUACCGUAACGAAUAAGCACCGGCUAACUACGUAGCCAGCAGCCGCGGU